rnacentral:rRNA from 1 species
AUGGCUAAGUUGUUUGGUGAUUGGGAUGAGUCUUUUGACAAGCUGUAUGCCUGGAAAGCGGAGGUUGAGAAGAGGUCUCCUGGAAGCAUAGUUGCGAUUGACCACAUGGAGUAUGAUCAGAAAAAGUAUUUUAUACGGAUGUUUGUUGGAUUGAAGCCUCUCUGCGAUGGAUUCUUGGCUGGAUGCAGACCUUACUUGGCGAUAGACAGCACUCAUUUGACAGGCAAGUAUAGAGGCCAGUUAGCUACUGCUUGUGCUAUUGAUGGGCACAAUUGGCUAUACCCUGUAGCAUAUGGAGUUAUUGAUGCGGAAACUACUGAAAGUUGGGUGUGGUUUAUGGAGAAGCUUCGUGAGGCUAUUGGCUCUCCCCUGGCCUAG